GGCGGAGUAGCUCAGCUGGCAGAGCAAGCGGUUCAUACCCGCUGUGUCGUUGGUUCAAGUCCGACCUCCGCUACCA
rnacentral:tRNA from 1 species